rnacentral:misc_RNA from 1 species
CGCACAUUGCGCCCUUUGGUAUUCCGAAGGGCAUGCCUGUCCGAGCGUCAUUUCAAAUCUCAAGCCUGGCUUGGUGUUGGGUGUCGCGGGUCCCCCGCGCGCCUCGAAGUCCCCCGGCGGGGCGGUUCGUCUCCACGCGUUGUGACAUCUCAUCCGCGGCGAGUUCGGGCGGCGCAGCCGUUAACCUCACGAAAGGUUGACCUCGGAUCAGGUAGGGAUACCCGCUGAACUUAA